rnacentral:tmRNA from 2 species
GGGGGCGUAUUUGGCUUCGACGGGGGCAGAGGAGAUUGGAUAAGCGAGCCGCGGGCCUCCUGGAACCGCGUUAAAAACCGGGUAAAGCGUAAUAAACGCCAACAAUCAAAAAUUAGCUUACGCGGCUUAAUCACCGUGUACAUCCGUCCUUAGCUUCCUGCGGCUAGGGGUACGGGUGCCAUUAAAGCAGGGAACGAACCCGCCUAAGCUUUGCGGCGGGCCGGAUUAAUGAAGCUACCGGCUCGGCACCUUGCCGACUAGGGGCCGCUGCCCGGGAAAUCAAAUAAUCGGCUGCGCUCGGAGAAAGUCUGGUUAAAUCGCUUUCGGACAGGGGUUCGACUCCCCUCGCCUCCACCA